rnacentral:rRNA from 1 species
AUUGAACGCUGGCGGCAUGCCUUACACAUGCAAGUCGAACGGUAACAGGUCUUCGGAUGCUGACGAGUGGCGAACGGGUGAGUAAUACAUCGGAACGUGCCUAGUAGUGGGGGAUAACUACUCGAAAGAGUGGCUAAUACCGCAUGAGAUCUACGGAUGAAAGCAGGGGAUCGCAAGACCUUGUGCUACUAGAGCGGCCGAUGGCAGAUUAGGUAGUUGGUGCGGUAAAAGCUUACCAAGCCGACGAUCUGUAGCUGGUCUGAGAGGACGAUGAGCCACACUCGGACCGAGAAACGGCACAGACUCCAAAGGGAGGCGGCAGUGAAGAAGCAUGGACAACCGGGCCAAGCCCGACUCGAAGCAGCCGCGUGCAGGAUGUGUGCCGUCGGGUUUGAAAUUGCCUUAGUACGGAACGAAAAGCCCAGGGUUAGUACCCUGGGGUCAAGAUGGUACCGCAAUAAUAAGCACCGGCUAACGACGUACCAGCCGCCGCAGUAA